AAAUUUUGGUCUCUAGGAUGUUUUGAGUUAUUGCAAAGGCCUUUGGAUGAAGAGGUGAGAUUUUUGCCCUGCUUUUUCAAAGACUAGUAGUUGCUGGAUUGCUACUGUUUCAUAAUUCCUUAAUAGGUUUCCCCCUUGCUUAUUCCCAUUGUUUCUACUUUCAAUUUAUUGGUGAAAUUCGAGAUAUAUGUUUGCAAAUUGUAAGCAGUCAUUGUUUCUUGAUUGGAACAUGACUUAAGAAAGUCUUCAGUGAAUAAAAUAGAUCAAUCAUUAUUCGUUUAAAA
rnacentral:misc_RNA from 1 species